rnacentral:rRNA from 1 species
GACGAACGCUGGCGGCGUGCUUAACACAUGCAAGUCGAACGGAAAGGCCCUGCUUUUGUGGGGUGCUCGAGUGGCGAACGGGUGAGUAACACGUGAGUAACCUGCCCUUGACUUUGGGAUAACUUCAGGAAACUGGGGCUAAUACCGGAUAGGAGCUCCUGCUGCAUGGUGGGGGUUGGAAAGUUUCGGCGGUUGGGGAUGGACUCGCGGCUUAUCAGCUUGCUGGUGGGGUAGUGGCUUACCAAGGCUUUGACGGGUAGCCGGCCUGAGAGGGUGACCGGCCACAUUGGGACUGAGAUACGGCCCAGACUCCUACGGGAGGCAGCAGUGGGGAAUAUUGCACAAUGGGCGGAAGCCUGAUGCAGCAACGCCGCGUGCGGGAUGACGGCCUUCGGGUUGUAAACCGCUUUCGCCUGUGACGAAGCGUGAGUGACGGUAAUGGGUAAAGAAGCACCGGCUAACUACGUGCCAGCAGCCGCGGUGAUACGUAGGGUGCGAGCGUUGUCCGGAUUUAUUGGGCGUAAAGGGCUCGUAGGUGGUUGAUCGCGUCGGAAGUGUAAUCUUGGGGCUUAACCCUGAGCGUGCUUUCGAUACGGGUUGACUUGAGGAAGGUAGGGGAGAAUGGAAUUCCUGGUGGAGCGGUGGAAUGCGCAGAUAUCAGGAGGAACACCAGUGGCGAAGGCGGUUCUCUGGGCCUUUCCUGACGCUGAGGAGCGAAAGCGUGGGGAGCGAACAGGCUUAGAUACCCUGGUAGUCCACGCUGUAAACGGUGGGUACUAGGUGUGGGGUCCAUUCCACGGGUUCCGUGCCGUAGCUAACGCUUUAAGUACCCCGCCUGGGGAGUACGGCCGCAAGGCUAAAACUCAAAGGAAUUGACGGGGCCCCGCACAAGCGGCGGAGCAUGCGGAUUAAUUCGAUGCAACGCGUAGAACCUUACCUGGGUUUGACAUGGAUCGGGAGUGCUCAGAGAUGGGUGUGCCUCUUUUGGGGUCGGUUCACAGGUGGUGCAUGGCUGUCGUCAGCUCGUGUCGUGAGAUGUUGGGUUAAGUCCCGCAACGAGCGCAACCCUUGUUCACUGUUGCCAGCACGUUAUGGUGGGGACUCAGUGGAGACCGCCGGGGUCAACUCGGAGGAAGGUGGGGAUGACGUCAAGUCAUCAUGCCCCUUAUGUCCAGGGCUUCACGCAUGCUACAAUGGCUGGUACAGAGAGUGGCGAGCCUGUGAGGGUGAGCGAAUCUCGGAAAGCCGGUCUCAGUUCGGAUUGGGGUCUGCAACUCGACCUCAUGAAGUCGGAGUCGCUAGUAAUCGCAGAUCAGCAACGCUGCGGUGAAUACGUUCCCGGGGCU